rnacentral:rRNA from 1 species
GAUGAACGCUGGCGGCGUGCCUAAUACAUGCAAGUCGAGCGAAUGGAUUAAGAGCUUGCUCUUAUGAAGUUAGCGGCGGACGGGUGAGUAACACGUGGGUAACCUGCCCAUAAGACUGGGAUAACUCCGGGAAACCGGGGCUAAUACCGGAUAACAUUUUGAACCGCAUGGUUCGAAAUUGAAAGGCGGCUUCGGCUGUCACUUAUGGAUGGACCAGCGUCGCAUUAGCUAGUUGGUGAGGUAACGGCUCACCAAGGCAACGAUGCGUAGCCGACCUGAGAGGGUGAUGGGCCACACUGGGACUGAGACACGGCCCAGACUCCUACGGGAGGCAGCAGUAGGGAAUCUUCCGAAAUGGACGAAAGUCUGACGGAGCAACGCCGCGUGAGUGAUGAAGGCUUUCGGGUCGUAAAACUCUGUUGUUAGGGAAGAACAAGUGCUAGUUGAAUAAGCUGGCACCUUGACGGUACCUAACCAGAAAGCCACGGCUAACUACGUGCCAGCAGCCGCCGUAA